rnacentral:misc_RNA from 1 species
UCCAACUUAUCAUUGGCAGUUUUUUUAGAGUGCAUCUUCAGUUAAGAAAAUUAGCAACUAAAAAUGAGGGUUGCGCUCGUUAUAGGACUUAACCCAACGUCUCACGACACGAGCUGACGACAGCCAUGCAACACCUGUAAAAUCAUUACUUCUCGAAUCUCUUCAAGAAGAUAAAUUUUAUGUCAAGGGUUGGUAAGGUUUUACGCGUUGUUUCGAAUUAAACCACAUGCUCCACCGCUUGUGCGGGCCCCCGUCAAUUCCUUUGAGUUUCAACCUUGCGGUCAUACUCCCCAGGCGGAGUGCUUAAUGCGUUAGCUUCAACACUGAGAAAAGAUUUCCCAACGUUUAGCACUCAUAGUUUACGGCAUGGACUAC